rnacentral:rRNA from 1 species
GGGUUGUGAGGUUAAGCGACUAAGCGUACACGGUGGAUGCCCUGGCAGUCAGAGGCGAUGAAGGACGUGCUAAUCUGCGAUAAGCGUCGGUAAGGUGAUAUGAACCGUUAUAACCGGCGAUUUCCGAAUGGGGAAACCCAGUGUGUUUCGACACACUAUCAUUAACUGAAUCCAUAGGUUAAUGAGGCGAACCGGGGGAACUGAAACAUCUAAGUACCCCGAGGAAAAGAAAUCAACCGAGAUUCCCCCAGUAGCGGCGAGCGAACGGGGAGCAGCCCAGAGCCUGAAUCAGUAUGUGUGUUAGUGGAAGCGUCUGGAAAGGCGCGCGAUACAGGGUGACAGCCCCGUACACAAAAAUGCACAUAUUGUGAGCUCGAUGAGUAGGGCGGGACACGUGGUAUCCUGUCUGAAUAUGGGGGGACCAUCCUCCAAGGCUAAAUACUCCUGACUGACCGAUAGUGAACCAGUACCGUGAGGGAAAGGCGAAAAGAACCCCGGCGAGGGGAGUGAAAAAGAACCUGAAACCGUGUACGUACAAGCAGUGGGAGCACGCUUAGGCGUGUGACUGCGUACCUUUUGUAUAAUGGGUCAGCGACUUAUAUUCUGUAGCAAGGUUAACCGAAUAGGGGAGCCGAAGGGAAACCGAGUCUUAACUGGGCGUUAAGUUGCAGGGUAUAGACCCGAAACCCGGUGAUCUAGCCAUGGGCAGGUUGAAGGUUGGGUAACACUAACUGGAGGACCGAACCGACUAAUGUUGAAAAAUUAGCGGAUGACUUGUGGCUGGGGGUGAAAGGCCAAUCAAACCGGGAGAUAGCUGGUUCUCCCCGAAAGCUAUUUAGGUAGCGCCUCGUGAAUUCAUCUCCGGGGGUAGAGCACUGUUUCGGCAAGGGGGUCAUCCCGACUUACCAACCCGAUGCAAACUGCGAAUACCGGAGAAUGUUAUCACGGGAGACACACGGCGGGUGCUAACGUCCGUCGUGAAGAGGGAAACAACCCAGACCGCCAGCUAAGGUCCCAAAGUCAUGGUUAAGUGGGAAACGAUGUGGGAAGGCCCAGACAGCCAGGAUGUUGGCUUAGAAGCAGCCAUCAUUUAAAGAAAGCGUAAUAGCUCACUGGUCGAGUCGGCCUGCGCGGAAGAUGUAACGGGGCUAAACCAUGCACCGAAGCUGCGGCAGCGAC